rnacentral:rRNA from 1 species
CAGUCGCCGCGGGAAUACGAAGGGUGCAAGCGUUAAUCGGAAUUACUGGGCGUAAAGCGCGCGUAGGUGGUUUGGUAAGAUGGAUGUGAAAUCCCCGGGCUCAACCUGGGAACUGCAUCCUUAACUGCCUGACUAGAGUACGGUAGAGGGUGGUGGAAUUUCCUGUGUAGCGGUGAAAUGCGUAGAUAUAGGAAGGAACACCAGUGGCGAAGGCGACCACCUGGACUGAUACUGACACUGAGGUGCGAAAGCGUGGGGAGCAAACAGGAUUAGAUACCCGCGUAGUCCCUGUCUCUUAUAU